rnacentral:tRNA from 1 species
GCCCUUAUUGUUUAAGUGGGUUCAAUACAUCUCCUUUUCAAGGAGUUGAUGAUGGUUCAAAUCCAUCUAAGGGUA